GACGAACGCUGGCGGCGUGCUUAACACAUGCAAGUCGAACGGAAAGGCCCUGCUUUUGUGGGGUGCUCGAGUGGCGAACGGGUGAGUAACACGUGAGUAACCUGCCCUUGACUUUGGGAUAACUUCAGGAAACUGGGGCUAAUACCGGAUAGGAGCUCCUGCUGCAUGGUGGGGGUUGGAAAGUUUCGGCGGUUGGGGAUGGACUCGCGGCUUAUCAGCUUGUUGGUGGGGUAGUGGCUUACCAAGGCUUUGACGGGUAGCCGGCCUGAGGGGGUGACCGGCCACAUUGGGACUGAGAUACGGCCCAGACUCCUACGGGAGGCAGCAGUGGGGAAUAUUGCACAAUGGGCGGAAGCCUGAUGCAGCAACGCCGCGUGCGGGAUGACGGCCUUCGGGUUGUAAACCGCUUUCGCCUGUGACGAAGCGUGAGUGACGGUAAUGGGUAAAGAAGCACCGGCUAACUACGUGCCAGCAGCCGCGGUGAUACGUAGGGUGCGAGCGUUGUCCGGAUUUAUUGGGCGUAAAGGGCUCGUAGGUGGUUGAUCGCGUCGGAAGUGUAAUCUUGGGGCUUAACCCUGAGCGUGCUUUCGAUACGGGUUGACUUGAGGAAGGUAGGGGAGAAUGGAAUUCCUGGUGGAGCGGUGGAAUGCGCAUAUAUCAGGAGGAACACCAGUGGCGAAGGCGGUUCUCUGGGCCUUUCCUGACGCUGAGGAGCGAAAGCGUGGGGAGCGAACAGGCUUAGAUACCCUGGUAGUCCACGCUGUAAACGGUGGGUACUAGGUGUGGGGUCCAUUCCACGGGUUCCGUGCCGUAGCUAACGCUUUAAGUACCCCGCCUGGGGAGUACGGCCGCAAGGCUAAAACUCAAAGGAAUUGACGGGGCCCCGCACAAGCGGCGGAGCAUGCGGAUUAAUUCGAUGCAACGCGUAGAACCUUACCUGGGUUUGACAUGGAUCGGGAGCGCUCAGAGAUGGGUGUGCCUCUUUUGGGGUCGGUUCACAGGUGGUGCAUGGCUGUCGUCAGCUCGUGUCGUGAGAUGUUGGGUUAAGUCCCGCAACGAGCGCAACCCUUGUUCACUGUUGCCAGCACGUUAUGGUGGGGACUCAGUGGAGACCGCCGGGGUCAACUCGGAGGAAGGUGGGGAUGACGUCAAGUCAUCAUGCCCCUUAUGUCCAGGGCUUCACGCAUGCUACAAUGGCUGGUACAGAGAGUGGCGAGCCUGUGAGGGUGAGCGAAUCUCGGAAAGCCGGUCUCAGUUCGGAUUGGGGUCUGCAACUCGACCUCAUGAAGUCGGAGUCGCUAGUAAUCGCAGAUCAGCAACGCUGCGGUGAAUACGUUCCCGGG
rnacentral:rRNA from 1 species